rnacentral:lncRNA from 1 species
GGGGUGGGAUCUGAACAUGGCGGCGGUGGUAGCUGCUACGGCGCUGAAGGGCCGGGGGGCGAGAAAUGCCCGCGUCCUCCGGGGACCCGGGCCCUGCAAAGCCACAGCUCCCCAGAGGGCAAGGAGGAACCUGAACCCCUAUCCCCGGAGCUGGAAUACAUUCCCAGAAAGAGGGGCAAGAACCCCAUGAAAGCUGUGGGACUGGCCUGGGCCAUCGGCUUCCCUUGUGGUAUCCUCCUCUUCAUCCUCACCAAGCGGGAAGUGGACAAGGACCGUGUGAAGCAGAUGAAGGCUCGGCAGAACAUGCGGUUGUCCAACACGGGCGAGUAUGAGAGCCAGAGGUUCAGGGCUUCCUCCCAGAGUGCCCCGUCCCCUGAUGUUGGGUCUGGGGUGCAGACCUGAGGAGCGCUGCGACCCUCCUAGGCUAUUGACUGUUAAGUCCUCAGGUUUGGCCCAGAUUCCAGUUCGUGCCUCUGAGGUCCACCAGAGGGCGCAUGAAGCCCAGGCUGUUGCCAAACCCUACCCUGCCCCACACCAAGGAGCCAGCCAAA